UCUAGGAGUCUUUGCUUAACGAAUAUCAUAUGGUAGUCUCUGUUAAUGAGCUUGCCAAUGCAUGGAAGCCACAGAAUACUAGAGCCUUGCUGCUGAUUGUUUGCUGCUGUUGUUCAUAUGCAUGGGAUUACUCCUGUCAUCCACUCCCAACAUGUGUGCGCAGUGAGGGAUCUGUGGAUGUGAAAAGCAAUUUUUUCUUUAGAUAUUUCACCUCCACUUCUUGAAUGGUAUAAUGACUUUGUUCUGAGGCCAAGCAUGCAGAUUCUUGAGAAAUAAACUCCGUUUGUCCUAAUCUUUUGUAGCAGUCCAAACUGUCCAUAGCAUUUGCAUGGGGAGUUCACAAGUUAGGCAUGAAGCACCAAGCCCUGUAGCAGCCUGUGCUCUCCUUCAAUGUGUGAUGUUUCAAGAAAAUUCCUGAAUAUCUGAAGUUGUUUGGAUCCAUGAAAGUUAAUGGCAUGCUGAUCAGGAUCCAGCCGUCAAAAUCCUGUCCGACUAAGGAAACAGCUUCAGAAUAUAUCCCUACAAGCAUGGCGUGAGAAAUGUGAUGGAUUUCAAAGGAAUGAAGAUCAUUUUUUCACAGGCCAGAUAUUAUGGGACCCAUAUACUAAGUAGGAGGCCCAAGGGUUUCUCCAGGAAACUCUGGACGAUGGAGAGCAAGUCUACUGCUCCUCCAUGCUGUGCAUUAGUGCUAUGCUAUCGAACCAUCAUUUUUCAGCCAGUGUUAGACAGGAUCCUGAUCUAACUGGACUGUUGUCAUGAUGUUGUGCACCCACCCUCAGACUCCUGUGUCCAUACAUAACAUGUAUCACUUCAUUGAAACGUUCUCAUUUAGCAGAUUAGUCUGUGAAAGCAAUCAUAUCAUAUUCUGCUGUUAAGUACUUCU
rnacentral:lncRNA from 1 species